AGACCCCUCAUGUCCAAACGGAGGCCGUUAUCUGCCUAACUACUACUGCGGACGAGGCGGCCGGCCAUGCCCCCCUUCUAUGUACUGCGAGAUCGACGCGACCGACCGAUGGGCAGUGUGCUGCCGUAUAAAGGGUGUAGGUCAGUGCCCAGAUGUAAGCGGCCAGAUCGGCAUCUGUGUGGAGGCGUGUAGCAGCAACUCCGACUGUCCGACUGGACAGCUCUGCUGCUCUAAUGGUUGCGGGCACACCUGCCAAGACCCUGUCCGCGGCCGCGGUUAAAGACAGCCUGGUGACGUAACCGCCGUGAUGCUGCGACCAGAGACUGGUUACCAAAGAAAGGGAUCUACAAGCAGAUGUGAGGGGGGACCUGAACGGUUUAUAACUAUCCUGCUAUUGCUUAUUUGGGCUAGUGUGUCAGCAAUCAUGUUGCAAUCGAAAACGUUAUGUCCUCUUCCCCUAAACCUGCCUGACGAUUAGAAGUCACCAUCAAUGAUAGGGUAUCGAAUACAAAAUAGUCCACAUAUUCACCAAUUAGCAAGGUUCUAUUGUUGCCGAAGGCGUGAAAGAUUUUAGACAGAGAACGUAAAUUACCUUUGAAAUUGAAUUGAUGCUGACCUAGGAAGAUGUUACGAUAGGGUGAUCACGGGCAUUGGUAUAAUCACGCUUUCAGUAUAGCAUUGACGCUUGGUGAAACUACUGGACGUCAUUUUAAUGUUGAUCAGAUACAGUAAAGUCAAGUGUAUUGCACAACGAUUGCAUCAGGUACAAUGUAUGGCAUACGGAUGAUUAGAAACAGGCGCUGGAUAUAUCCAUCUUGUGGAGAUUUUCUUAGAAUGGCAAAGCUGAUUAUCAUCUUACCCAUUGCAGAAUAUUCAUAGUAUUCAUAGUUAAUGAAAAUACUAUGGAGCAUGCAUCAGAACAUAGGAUUUACUAAAUCAAAGAUGUGAAAUGGCAUAAUAUGUGACUAUUAUUAAGGUGAGCAAACCACGAGAGAAUGCAAAAGAAAUAGGACUCUACAUGAUUUUUAAAGUUCACAUAUGUCAUAUUUAAUUAUUACCAUUAGUAUGAUCACAAUCUGUAAGUUCGGAGGGAAAAGAAAUCAUCCCCCAAAGGCAACCACCAACUAUCGCAGAUCUACAAGGUACGCAAGGUUCCCACAACCCUUUAGUAUUUGCAUAAUUAGGCUGGUGCGUCCAGAAGUAAUGUUAAAGUUUUAGUCAUUAAGAUGCAAGUGAUGACGUGAUCCGCCAUGAUGCCAUGAAGAAAUCUUUAAAAAAAUGUCCUUUAAGUGCUUGCAAG